rnacentral:rRNA from 1 species
GUGCCAGCAGCCGCGGUAAUUCCGACACAGGGAGUUUUCCAUUUGGUUGCUGCAGUUAAAAAGUUCGUAGUUUACUGACUCUUUCACUAUAAGCAAAGCCGAAUGCUCCAAGUUUUUUAGCAGUAUUUAUAGUAUGAAAUUAUAGCGCGGCAUUGAACGUAGUUUGGGGUACUCGAUAGGGACAGGUGAAAUAGGAUGAUCUAUCGAAGACCCACGGUAGCGGAGGCUCCCAACGAAGUCCAAGUGUCACGAUCAAGAACUAAAGUCAGGGGAUAGACGACGAUUAGACACCGUUUUAUUCCUGACCCUAAACGAUGUCGCCUAGCUGAUGGGAUUUUUUUCAUUUGCCAAGAGAAAUCGUAAGGUUUCAGACUCUGGGGGAAGUAUGAUCGCAAGGUUGAAACUUGAAGGGAUUGACGGAGAGGUACCACCAGACGUGGAGUCUGCGGCUCAAUUUGACUCAACACGCAAACAUUACUAGGCCCAGAAGCUUUGAGGAUUGACAGAUGAGUGAUCUUUCAUGAUUAAGUUGUUGGUGGUGCAUGGCCGUUCUUAGUCCGUGAUUUAAAUUGUCUGCUUUAUUGCGAUAACGAACGAGACCUCUAUCAGAUUUAUUAUCUGAGACUGCUAGUGAUGAACUAGAGGAAGGCAGAGGCAAAAACAGGUCUGUGAUGCCCUUAGAAGCCCUAGGCCGCACGCGUACUACAAUGGCAGGUUCAUCGUGUUGCUUCCCUGAAAAUGGUGGCAGUUCAUUAAAACUUGUCGUGGUUAGGACUGAAGGUUGAAAUUAUCCUUCACGAAUGAGGAAUGUCUAGUAAGUGUAGGUUAUGAAUCUACGCUGAUUACGUCCCUACCCCUUGUACACACCGUCCCGUC